GAAGGAAAAGGUGGUACCAAGGUUUCGGUAGGUGACCCUGGGAAAGGAUCAUUA
rnacentral:rRNA from 1 species